rnacentral:misc_RNA from 1 species
AGCAGCCGCGGUAAUUCCAGCUCCAAUAGCGUAUAUUAAAGUUGUUGCAGUUAAAAGCUCGUAGUUGAAUUUCGGGAUCAAAGGAUCGGUCAUGCCUUGGUAUGUACUGGUUUUAUUGGUUCUCACCUUCUAAAGAACCAUAAUGUCAUUCAUUUGAUGUUAUGGGGAAUUAGGACUGUUACUUUGAAAAAUUGAGUGUUUAAAGCAGGCUCACGCUUGAAUACAUUAGCAUGAAUAAUGAAAUAGGACGUUUGAUUCUAUUUUGUUGGUUUCUAGGAUCGACGUAAUGAUUAAUAGGGAUAGUUGGGGGCAUUAGUAUUCAAUUGUCAGAGGUGAAAUUCUUGGAUUUAUUGAAGACUAACUACUGCGAAAGCAUUUGCCAAGGAUGUUUUCAUUAAUCAAGAACGAAAGUUAGGGAUCGAAGACGAUCAGA